ACCACUCUGACAGGCUCCGCACCCGCCAAAAUGCAAAUCUUCCUGCCAAACCAGGAAACACCGGGUCCCGCCCCGCAGAGAUUCUGACCCGGAGACUUUCACGUCCCUCAAAAGGGACUUCCGGCGCGCCUGAAACCGGCUAAACCCGGACAGGAAGUCCCGCCUCCAGGACGCCUGGAAUAUGACGUCACACGGCGAGACCCAAUGGAGAAUGCAGAGAUGUCUCUCUCUCUUUAAAGAGGACCGUAGACUCAACUAUAUUUCAUCACUUACCGAAGGCAUCAGCCCAAGCCCAGAGUCUGAGACUCAGAACUCUUGCACUUCGCUUUUUCUUUGUCUCCAUCCAGUAGUCAUGCUGAAGUUACGUUGCUACAGGCCUGUGUGAAGAGAGCAGCAACAGUGUGACUGCCACGUCGUGACCGCUGCGGCUUGCUCAUGUGACCACAGGCAUCAUGGAGGUGCUGUCCACCAGGGAAUAGUCCCGCCACUCAAUGAACAGCAUGCUACUCAACCCCACUAAAUAACACCCCCCCUGCCCUGCCCCUUAUCCUCCUGUUAGACAUCAACCUUGCAGAGGCUGCGAGUUGGUUUUAUAAGAUGAAAUGCAAUAGUCCAUUUGUCAGGGCUGAGGGUUGAGCCAGUGAGGGGCACUGUUAUUACCCAAAUGUCAUAAAAAAAAGAACACACUUUUGAGCCACAGGUCAACAGACCGCUUGAAGAGUUCUCAGUUAAUUUUUAUUUAUAUAUUUAUGGCCGUCCCUCCUCACCAAAAAAAGACAAAAAAAGGAAGUGAUUUCUUACCAUUGUAUUUGCUCGUCUUCUUCACUUUGGGGAGACACGGUUUGGUUUGAACGAUUGUGUACACUUCCUGCUGCCUUCCCCACUGUUGUAUUAGAACUCAGAUUGAA